GGGCCGCUAGCUCAGAUGGUAGAGCAACGCCCUUUUAAGGCGUGGGUCGAAGGUUCGAGUCCUUCGCGGCUCA
rnacentral:tRNA from 1 species